rnacentral:lncRNA from 1 species
GAGAACUCCCAUUUAUACAAACAAAUAUAAGUGGGCAAAUUCAAUACUCAUAAUAAAUACACAAAGAUGACUAAAAACAUUAUUAAACCAGAUCCAGUAUGCAGCAUACAAGAAAAGGGGGUAUUUCAAGGAGUAGAACGAGAAGGUGGUGGAGAAAAGGAAGGAAUAGAGGGAACUGCAGUUGGGAUUGAGGGAAUGCUUGGCAGAGGCGGCAGUCAUCUUGGCAAUGUGGUAGGAAGUGGAGGAAGCGCCCCAGGGUUUGGGAGAUUAGGGAAAGAUGGCAAUGGCGGAAAAGAGAAAGGAAUAGGGGGAAUUGCAGUUGGGAUUGUGGGGACUGAGGGAAUGCUUGGCAGAGGGGGCAGUCCUGUUGGGAAUGUGGUAGGAAGUGGAAGAAGCGCCCCAGGCCAUGAGAAUGAUGGUCGGGAUGGCGUUGGGAGAUUAGGGAAAGAUGGUAAACUUUGCGUUCGAGGCUGCUGCAGAAGGUGACGAGCUGCUACCCCAACAUCAAUGCCUGCAAAUGACAAAGCAAUCAAGAAUGCUAAAGCAAAGCAAUUGAAAGAGGCCAUUUUUGUUCAAAGAUUUCGAAACAAAUGAAGCAGAUGAAACGAAGUUCUUUAUCUGAAUAGUUGUGAGUGAGGAAAACAAAGCAUGGUAUUGAGGUUUAUAUAGGCAUUGGAGUAGUGAAUAGAAAUCCCCUGCCCUUAAACAAUGCCCCAUGCAUGCCCCCAAACCAAAUUAGCGCCACAUGUUUUUUAUUUUUUCCAUUUUAAUUGUAGUUCAUUUUUUAAAUAAAAAAUUUAUAAUGAUUUGAAUUAAUUUUUAACUUAUUAUCAACGUUUUUAUUUUUGUUUUAUUUUUAUUUUACAUUAAUUUUACCUAUUCUUUAAUUAACAACUUUAUAAUGACUUAGAGUUUAUCUAAUAGAGGUUUUUUUUUUAUAAUCGGUCUUAUAAUAAAAUUUUAUAAGGUGGGAACAAGUCCCACUGUGACAACAUGAUCCUUCAAUUUUUGGUGGUGGCAUGCCUUUAGUCAAAGGAUCAGCUAACAUCUGCUCAAUGCUAAUGUGCUCAAUGACCAAUUUCUUUUCUUUAACAUGUUCCCUCAUGCCUAGGUACUUAAAGUCGAUAUGUUUACUUCGACUUCCACUUCUUCCGUUCUUAGCCAUAGAGACAGCAGUUGAAUUGUCACAAUAUAUGAAAUAAUCAAAACCCAUAAUGACUCAGCCCAAAAAUCUCGAGCUUCAAACCCAAAUUAAAUUAAAUCAAAACCAUAAUUUAUUAUGUACAAUUGCACAAAAUUAACAUAAUUUAAGUGUGUCAUACUGCAUAUUAAAUUAAAGUUUACGUUUGACAUUAUAGAUAAUAUUCACGUGUAAAAUUUUGAGAUUUAUUCCCUUAAUUAAAGUAAUAUGUCAAAUAGAAUACUUGAACAAUCCUCCAUGUUGGCAAAGUUUAUGUACAGUAGUAGAAGCGAACUAAAUAAUUAGAAUAAAUCUAAAGUAUGGCUUACAUAUAAUUUAUUCACAAUGUGACUUAAACUUUGUCCUUCAAGAUUUCACGGUCUCAAUUUAUGUCUUAAAAUUUUAAGAUCAUUUUAGGUUUGUUAAAAAAUUAAAAGUUUAGAAAGUUAGAAUUGUUGCUUGAGGCGUGAAUAUCUUUAUUCUUUAGGAUAUUUGCGGAUUUACCACCUCUCAGGAUUUCGUUUGUAUCAUGCACAAUGAAAAAAUUGAAAAAAAAAAUUUCACAUUUGAAUGGAAUUGAGCUGUUAGGCUCAAGCCUCAUGUGCGCAUAUAUAUUCUCUUAUUUUGAGUCUUACAAGUUUAUAGUAAACCAAAUCUAUAUAAACAUCAUUUCAUUAGGUCAAUCUAAAAUAUGUUUAAUAUGUGUAAUUCUUUAAAAUAGAUGAAAACUUCAAAUAUGGUUUAGGUCAUUUUUAGAUUUGUCUUAUUUUAGGUUCAAAUCAUUCGAAUUUGAGGCUAAGUUUUUCAUGUCUAAUCAUUAUUGAUCCGAAUCAUUUUAGAUUUUGAUCAUUUUAAGUUCCAAUUAUUUUGUGAUCAAAUCAUUUCAAGUUUAGAUAAAUUUGGGUCGAUUCGAAUUUGACUUAAUUACGUAGUUAACUUUUUUUUAUAAUAAAUUGAGCUGAAUGAAAGUUAGAUUAGAAUUUAUUUAGUGUGCCUUUGUGUUUAAUUCGAAAUUUAAACAUCUCCCUUCGAAAUAAACAUGUUAAGACAAUUUUAUUUUAAAGACAAUAAUACAACAUAGUUGAUUUGGGAGAUAAACAUGUUAAUUUUUUAAUCCCAACCAAAAUUGUACAUAAUUCUUUUAUGUCAUAUUAAAUACAUGUAACGUCUUAUAAAAAUUGUCAAUAAAUUAUGCCUAGCGACAACGUUAUUCAACUCUAAUUUCAUUGUUAAUACCUAUUUCUAUUUUUCUUCUACUGUCUUCAACUUUAAAUAUAAAGGGAUUGAAAUCUUAAGAAUUGAGAUUUCUUUUCUCUGUAUUAGUGGACGUCUGAUUUUUUGUUUGAUUGUUUUUUUUUUACUGGAAUUGACACAUAUCUUUUCAGAUUUAUCAAUAUUUUUAAAAUUUAUUUAAGAUAUGUAUAUAAAUAUAUUACAAAUAUAAGAUAAAUGAAACUAAAUACAUUUCAAAUAUAAAAUAUUCAUUAAUAAAUUGAACAAAUAAAAAUUUAUCAUUCAAAUAAAUCUAAAAUUAUUAAUAACAAUCCAUCAUUUAAUAUGAAAUUUUAUGGAUUUAGCUCAUUUACUUAAUAAAAGAAGCUAAAAGGUGAACGAAUAUAUUUUUUCUUUGAUAAUCGGGUGAACGGUUUUUCUUAAUUAUAUUUUGAAUGUGAAAGUAUAUUCCAUUUUUUUAAAAACUUUACAUUCUGAUGUAACAUUUUUAAUUAGUCACGUUUCAAUUAAGUUUUUAGCAUAAUAGUAAAUAAUUAAAAGUUUAAUAUUUUUAAUAUUAUUCAUGCACAGGACGGUGCAUUAUGUUCUGGCAAGUGUGACAGGAAUUGAUCGGAAUGAGUUGGUGCAAUUGGUACGGACCGAAAUUUUCACCAGUGUAGAAAAAGCGUGUUGGGUGUUUCGCAAUGUUAUUGAAACCAAACUAAACAGACCAAGAACCGAUGAACCCGAGGACUAGAGCAAACUGCAGUUAAACAACAAAUCAUCAGCCGGUUAAGCCGUAUUUUAACCUUUUCUAAACUGGAAAUACGAAAAUUUCACUUCAAAUCCCUUGAGCUUUUGUCACACUUCUUCUCUGCACUCAAUGAAAUAAAACACAACAUAAAAAUAUAAGCACCAUUUCUUUUAUUACUUUUUCUACUAAAAUAAGUUUUUUUUUCUCAUAAAAAACCUAAGAUGGGGAGAGGAUUUUAAAAUUCAAAACCUUCGAAAUAGAUGAGUUUGAGGUUGUUAAUAUUAUUUUAUAUUUUUGAAUAGUAAAUUAAUUGUAUUAGUGGUUUAACCAAUUGGAUCGAGAAUUAAUGAUUUGAUUGAUUUGAGUUUGGGCUGCUCAUUACCUUGACUGCAUUUAUCAUUUAAUUCUUUUUUUAAUUAGCCAAACUCAUGUUCACAAUGGUAUAACAGUAAUUAAUGACUUCAUGGACAGAACAUCAAUAUAUAAAUACACAAACAAAUAUAAUGGGAAUUGGAGAACUCCAAUUUAUACAAACAAAUAUAAGUGUGCAAAUUCAAUACUCAUAAUAAAUACACAAAGAUGACUAAAAACAUUAUUAAACCAGAUCCAGUAUGCAGCAUACAAGAAAAGAGGGUAUUUCAAGGAGUAGAACGAGAAGGUGGUGGAGAAAAGGAAGGAAUAGAGGGAACUGCAGUUGGGAUUGAGGGAAUGCUUGGCAGAGGCGGCAGUCCUCUUGGCAAUGUGGUAGGAAGUGGAGGAAGCGCCCCAGGGUUUGGGAUAUUAGGGAAAGAUGGCAAUGGCGGAAAAGAGAAAGGAAUAGGGGGAAUUGCAGUUGGGAUUGUGGGGACUGAGGGAAUGCUUGGCAGAGGGGGCAGUCCUGUUGGGAAUGUGGUAGGAAGUGGAGGAAGCGCCCCAGGCCAUAAGAAUGAUGGUCGGGAUGGCGUUGGGAGAUUAGGGAAAGAUGGUAAACUUUGCGUUCGAGGCUGCUGCAGAAGGUGACGAGCUGCUACCCCAACAUCAAUGCCUGCAAAUGACAAAGCAAUCAAGAAUGCUAAAGCAAAGCAAUUGAAAGAGGCCAUUUUUGUUCAAAGAUUUUGAAACAAAUGAAGCAGAUGAAACGAAGUUCUUUAUCUGAAUAGUUGUGAGUGAGGAAAACAAAGCAUGGUAUUGAGGUUUAUAUAGGCAUUGGAGCAGUGAAUAGAAAUCCCCUGCCCCUAAACAAUGCUCCAUGCAUGCCCUCAAACCAAAAUAGCUCCACAUGUUUUUUAUUUUUUUCAUUUUAAUUUUUUUAAAUAAAAACUCUGUAAUGAUUUGAAUUAAUUUUUAACUUAUUAUCAACGUUUUUAUUUUUGUUUUAUUUUUAUUUUACAUUAAUUUUACCUAUUCUUUAAUUAAAAAAUUUAUAAUGACUUAGAGUUAAUUUGAGAGAGUUUUUUUUAUAAUUGGUCUUAUAAUAAAAUUUUACAAAGCAGAAACAAGUUCCACUGUGAAAACAUGAUCCUUAAAUUUUUGGAGAUAACCAUGUUAAUUUUUUAAUCCCAACCAAAAUUCGAAAUAAUUCUUUUAUGUCAUAUUAAAUACACGUAACGUCUUAUAAAAAUUGUCAAUAAAUUAUGCAUAGUGACAAGGUUAUUCAAAUCUAAUUUCAUUGUUAAUACCUAUUUUUAUUUUUCUUCUACUGUCUUCAACUUUAAAUAUAAAGGGAUUGAAAUUUUAAGAAUUGAGAUUUCUUUUCUCUGUAUUAGCGGACGUCUUAUUUUUUGUUUGAUUGUUUUUUUUACUGGAAUUGACACAUAUCUUUUCAGAUUUAUCAAUAUUUUUAAAAUUUAUUUAAGAUAUUAUUGGGAAUUAUCCAUAUUUAUGGAAAAUCAAAGAUAUGGGUAUCAAAUAUUGGAAAGUCAAAGAUAUGGGUAUCGAGAUAUUGGCAUAAUAAAAUCUGAGAUAUUUGCAAUAUAUGGUCCCUAAUUGUAAAGUGACUUUGCAAGUUGAUCCCUGAACCUCAACUAUAAAUAGGCAUAACCAUCUCUCAUUCUGUAUCUCAAACUUGCCAUUCUCUACUUAAGGCAUUGUUUUCUCUCUCUCUCUUUGUAAAUUCUCACUUGUAUUUUGGAGUGAAAUAUAUUUGGUAGUGCCCGAGGACGUAGGCAAAAUUUGCUGAACCUCAUUAAAUUCUUGUGUUCUUUAUUGUAUUAUUCUGCAUGAAUUGUGUGUGUGAUUGUAGUGAUUUAUUGUGCUAUUAAAUUACGAUUGAGGGAUAUUCUGGCUAGGAAAGACCUGGUACUUAAGUGAUCCUUGUGAUCCACCUCUCUUUCCUGGGAAUUGAACUUAGUGUGAUUUUUUAGUACAAUAAUUUUACUCUUUUACACGCUUCCGCACAACAAUUGGUAUCAGAGCUAGAUUCGUACUUGAGGAAUACGAUCGUUCACGGCACUGUUCACGUACUGUAGUUGGGAUUGAGGAGAAAAAGAUGGAAAAGUCAUCGUCAAAGACUACUGUGACCAAUGCGAAAUUUGAAGUAGAGAAAUUUGAUGGUACCAAUAAUUUUGGUAUGUGGCAAUGUGAGAUCCUGGAUGUCUUAUGUCAACAAGAGCUGGAUAUAGCCCUUGAAGAAAAACCUGACAAGAUGGAUGACAAGGAGUGGGCCAAGAUCAAUAGACAGGCAUGUGGAACAAUUCGCCUAUGUUUGGCCAAAGAGCAGAAGUACUCUGUCAUGAGGGAGACAUCAGCGAAGAAGUUGUGGGAUACACUGGAAGAAAAGUUUCUAACAAAAAGUCUUGAAAAUAGGCUUUAUAUGAAAAAAAAACUUUAUCGAUUCACGUAUGCACCCGGUAUGUCGAUGAAUGACCAUGUGAACUCAUUCAAUAAAAUUUUAGCAGACUUGCUAAAUUUGGAUGAGAAAUUUGAAGAUGAAGACAAGGCAUUAUUGUUGUUGAAUUCCCUUCCUGAUGAAUAUGAUCAUCUUACCACCACAUUGCUUCAUGGGAAGGACACGAUCACAUUUGAUGCAGUCUGUAGUGCGUUGUAUAGAUCUGAGACUCGAAAGAAAGAUAAAAGAGAUCACAGAGAUACAACCGCAGAAGUCUUAACAGUAAGAGGUCGUUCACACAGUAGCAAAUCUGGUAGAAGGGGAAAGUCCAAAGGGAGACCCGCCAAAGAUGAAUGUGCCUUUUGCCGUGAAAAAGGGCAUUGGAAAAAGAAUUGUCCUAAGCUACAAAAGGGCAAGGCUAUUUCUAAUGCAUGUGUAGCGGAGCAUGAUGAGGAGUCAGACUUUAGCUUGGUUGGCAUGGCAAUGGCAUGUCAAACGGAUGAGUGGAUUUUGGAUUCAGGAUGUACUUACCAUUUGUGCCCUAAUAAGGACUGGUUUUCUAGUCUUAAAGAGCUAGAAGGUGGAAUUGUUCUUAUGGGAAAUGAUAGUGCUUGUAAGACAAUGGGAGUGGGUACAGUCCAAUUGAAGAAUCACGACGGCUCAAUCCAAGUCUUGACAGAUGUUCGCUACGUACCUAGCCUGAAGAAAAAUCUCAUCUCAUUAGGUGCCCUAGAAUCUAAAGGGCUCACAAUCACUUUGAGAGAUGGAUUACUAAAAGUAGUAGCUGGGCAACUGACGGUGAUGAAAGGCACAAGAAGAAAUAACUUGUAUUUUUUAAAUAGAAGUACAGUUAUUGGAUCAACAUCAACAGUUUCUACAAAAGAUGUAGAUUCAGAGGCUACCAGAUUAUGGCAUAUGCGAUUGGGACAUGCUGGUGAAAAAGCUUUGCAGACAUUGGUGAAGCAAGGCUUAUUGAAAGGUGCAAAUUCUUGCAAAAUGGAAUUCUGUGAACAUUGUGUUCUGGGCAAGCAGAAGAGGGUAAAAAUUGGUCCAGCAAUUCACAAUACGAAAGGAAUUCUGGACUACGUUCACAGUGAUGUGUGGGGACCUACCAAAGUAGCUUCUUUGGGAGGUAUGCACUAUUUUGUUACUUUUGUUGAUGAUUAUUCAAGAAAAGUAUGGGUGUAUCUAAUGAAAAGAAAAAGUGAAGUUUUGGAUGCAUUUCUGAAAUGGAAGAAGAUGGUGGAGACUCAGACUGGUCGAAAGGUCAAACGACUUCGAUCAGAUAAUGGUACUGAGUACAAAAACGAUCCAUUUCUACAAGUACGCCAAGAUGAGGGCAUUGUGCGACACUUCACUAUUCGGGAUACACCACAGCAAAAUGGGGUGGCAGAACGAAUAAAUCGAACUAUACUGGAGAAAGUUCGAUGUAUGUUGUCCAAUGCUGGAUUGGGCAAAGAAUGUUGGGCUGAGGCAGUUACAUAUGCGUGCCAUCUAAUUAACUGUUUGCCAUCAGUUGCAAUAAAUGGAAAAACUCCUAUGGAGAUGUGGACUGGUAAAUCUGCUACUGAUUAUGAUUCUUUGCAUGUAUUUGGUUCCACUGCAUAUUAUCAUGUAAAAGAAUCUAAGUUAGACCCAAGAGCAAAGAAAGCAUUAAUCUUGGGUAUAACUGAUGGAGUAAAAGGAUAUCGUCUCUGGUGUCCUGAUACAAGGAAGAUUGUUUUCAGUAGAGAUGUGACUUUUGAUGAAUCAACCAUGUUGAAGUACAAGGAUUCACAAAAGGAUGACAAAACCAGUAGCACUUUGUAGCAGGUGGAGCUUGAAAAGGUUAACGAUGAUCCAGCUAAUAUUGAAGGGACAAAUGAUGAAGAGGUUCCUACCCAAGAAUCUCUACAGCAACAAGAUUCAAUUGCAUAUAGAAGGCCAAGAAGAGAGAUUCGUAAGCCUGCUCGCUUUGAUGAUAUAAUGGCCUAUGCACUUCCAAUUACAGAUGAUGAUGUUCCUUCUACUUACACAGAAGUAAUAAGUAACCCUGAUGGUGUAAAGUGGAAGCAAGCAAUGAAUGAAGAAAUGCAGUCUCUUCAUAAAAAUAAGACCUAGGAGUUGGUGGCACUACCCAAGGGAAAGAAGGCAAUUGGAUGCAAAUGGGUAUAUGCAAAGAAGGAAGGAUUUCCUAAUAAAAAUGAAAUUCGAUACAAGGCUAGAUUAGUAGCAAAGGGUUACGCUCAGAAAGAAGGAAUAGACUACAAUGAAGUGUUUUCUCCAGUUGUGAAGCAUUCGUCUAUUCGGAUCUUGCUAGCCUUGGUUGCGCAAUAUGAUCUUGAACUAGUUCAGCUUGAUGUGAAGACCGCGUUUUUACACGGUGAUUUGGAAGAGGAAAUCUAUAUGACUCAGCCAGAUGGAUUCAAGGUUGCUGGAAAAGAAAAUUGGGUUUGCAAACUGACAAAGUCGCUUUAUGGAUUGAAGCAAUCUCCAAGGCAGUGGUACAAGCGAUUUGAUCAGUUCAUGAAAGGGCAAAGGUACACAAGAAGUAAAUUUGAUCAUUGCGUGUAUUUUCAGAAGCUACAAGAAGGAACUUUCAUAUACUUUCUCUUAUAUGUUGAUGAUAUGCUAAUAGCAUCUAAGAGCAAAGUUGAGAUUGAAAGAUUGAAGACUCAACUCAAUCUCGAGUUUGAGAUGAAAGAUUUAGGAGAAGCUAAAAAGAUUCUCGGCAUGGAAAUUUGGAGAGAUAGAGCUCAUGAUAGAGUUAGCUUGUCUCAGAAGCAGUAUUUGAAAAAGGUACUACAGCAGUUUGGCAUGAACGAGCAGACAAAACCUGUAAGUACCCCGUUGGCUUCUCAUUUCAAGCUUUCUGCACAACUAUCUCCUUCGACGAAUACGGAACGAGAAUACAUGUUGCAAGUUCCGUAUUCUAAUGCAGUGGGUAGCUUGAUGUAUGCAAUGGUGUGUACAAGACCCGACAUUUCACAGGCAGUUAGUAUAGUGAGCAGGUAUAUGCAUAAUCCUGGAAAAGGACAUUGGCAAGCUGUGAAAUGGAUUCUACGGUAUAUUCAUAAGACCAUGGAUAUUGGAUUACUGUUCAAGCAGGAUACUACACUUGGUAAAGGUGUUGUUGGGUACGUUGAUUCUGAUUAUGCCGGUGAUUUGGACAAACGAAGAUCAACCACUGGUUAUGUGUUUACUCUUGCUGAAGGACCAAUAAGUUGGAAGUCUACACUGCAGUCUACAGUUGCGUUGUCAACCACAGAAGCUGAAUACAUGGCUGUAACAGAGGCUGUAAAGGAAGCUAUUUGGUUACAAGGUAUGGUUAAAACCUUGGGAUUGGUCCAGGAGCAUAUUAAUGUGUAUUGUGAUAGUCAAAGUGCUAUUCAUUUAGCAAAGAAUCAAGUCUAUCAUGCACGUACAAAGCAUAUCGAUGUACGUUUCCACUUUGUGCGGGAAAUUAUUGAUGAGGGGAAAAUUCACCUUCAAAAGAUUAAGACUGCAGAUAAUCCCGCAGAUAUGAUGACCAAGGUGGUAACAACAAUCAAGUUCGAACAUUGUUUGAACUUGAUCAAUAUUCUGCAUGUUUAACAGUUGAAGAAGGCACUAUCAAGUGUUGUUGACAAAGGCAGAGAGAAUUGUGUGAAGAUAAGAUUACUCGAAUCAAAUCUUCAAGGUGGAGAUUAUUGGGAAUUAUCCAUAUUUAUGGAAAAUCAAAGAUAUGGGUAUCAAAUAUUGGAAAGUCAAAGAUAUGGGUAUCAAAUAUUGGAAAGUCAAAGAUAUGGGUAUCGAGAUAUUGGCAUAAUAAAAUCUGAGAUAUUUGCAAUAUAUGGUCCCUAAUUGUAAAGUGACUUUGCAAGUUGAUCCCUGAACCUCAACUAUAAAUAGGCAUAACCAUCUCUCAUUCUGUAUCUCAAACUUGCCAUUCUCUACUUAAGGCAUUGUUUUCUCUCUCUCUCUUUGUAAAUUCUCACUUGUAUUUUGGAGUGAAAUAUAUUUGGUAGUGCCCGAGGACGUAGGCAAAAUUUGCUGAACCUCGUUAAAUUCUUGUGUUCUUUAUUGUAUUAUUCUGCAUGAAUUGUGUGUGUGAUUGUAGUGAUUUAUUGUGCUAUUAAAUUACGAUUGAGGGAUAUUCUGGCUAGGAAAGACCUGGUACUUAAGCGAUCCUUGUGAUCCACCUCUCUUUCCUGGGAAUUGAACUUAGUGUGAUUUUUUAGUACAAUAAUUUUACUCUUUUACACGCUUCCGCACAACAGAUAUGUAUAUAAAUAUAUUACAAAUAUAAGAUAAAUGAAACUAAAUACAUUUCAAAUAUAAAAUAUUCAUUAAUAAAUUGAACAAAUAAAAAUUUAUCAUUCAAAUAAAUCUAAAAGUAUUAAUAACAAUCCAUCAUUUAAUAUGAAAUUUUAUGGAUUUAGCUCAUUUACUUAAUAAAAGAAGCUAAAAGGUGAACGAAUAUAUUUUUUCUUUGAUAAUCAGGUGAACGGUUUUUUCUUAAUUAUAUUUUGAAUGUGAAAGUAUAUUCCAUUUUUUAAAAAACUUUACAUUCCGAUGUAACAUUUUUAAUUAGUCACGUUUCAAUUAAGUUUUUAGCAUAAUAGUAAAUAAUUAAAAGUUUAAUAUUUUUAAUAUUAUUCAUGCACAGGACGGUGCAUUAUGUUCUGGCAAGUGUGACAGGAAUUGAUCGGAAUGAGUUGGUGCAAUUGGUACGGACCGAAAUUUUAACCAGUGUAGAAAAAGCGUGUUGGGUGUUUCGCAAUGUUAUUGAAACCAAACUAAACAGACCAAGAACCGAUGAACCCGAGGACUAGAGCAAGCUGCAGUUAAACUACAAAUCAUCAGCUGGUUAAGCCGUAUUUUAACAUUUUCUAAACUGGAAAACUGAAAAUUUCACUUCAAAUCGCUUGAGCUUUUGUCACACUUCUUCUCUGCACUCAAUGAAAUAAAACACAGCAUAAAAAUAUAAGCACCAUUUCUUUUAUUACUUUUUCUACUAAAAUAAGUUUUUUUUUUCUCGUAAAAAACCUAAGAUGGGGAGAAGAUUUUAAAAUUCAAAACCUUCGAAAUAUAUGAGUUUGAGGUUGUUAAUAUUAUUUUAUAUUUUUGAAUAGUAAAUUAAUUGUAUUGGUGGUUUAACUUAUUGGAUCGAGAAUUAAUGAUUUGAUUGAUUUGAGUUUGUGCUGCUCACUAUCUAGAUUGCAUUUAUCAUUUAAUUCUUUUUUUAAUUAGCCAAAAUCAUGUUAACAAUUCAUGGACCGAACAUCAAUAUAUAAAUACACAAACAAAUAUAAUGGGAAUUGGAGAACUCCCAUUUAUGCAAACAAAUAUAAGUGGACAAAUUCAAUACUCAUAAUAAAUACACAAAGAUGACUAAAAACAUUAUUAAACCAGAUCCAGUAUGCAGCAUACAAGAAAAGGGGGUAUUUCAAGGAGUAGAACGAGAAGGUGGUGGAGAAAAGGAAGGAAUAGAGGGAACUGCAGUUGGGAUUGAGGGAAUGCUUGGCAGAGGCGGCAGUCCUCUUGGCAAUGUGGUAGGAAGUGGAGGAAGCGCCCCAGGGUUUGGGAGAUUAGGGAAAGAUGGCAAUGGUGGAAAAGAGAAAGGAAUAGGGGGAAUUGCAGUUGGGAUUGUGGGGACUGAGGGAAUGCUUGGCAGAGGGGGCAGUCCUGUUGGGAAUGUGGUAGGAAGUGGAGGAAGUGCCCCAGGCCAUGAGAAUGAUGGUCGGGAUGGCGUUGGGAGAUUAGGGAAAGAUGGUAAACUUUGCGUUCGAGGCUGCUGCAGAAGGUGACGAGCUGCUACCCCAACAUCAAUGCCUGCAAAUGACAAAGCAAUCAAGAAUGCUAAAGCAAAGCAAUUGAAAGAGGCCAUUUUUGUUCAAAGAUUUCGAAACAAAUGAAGCAGAUGAAACGAAGUUCUUUAUCUGAAUAGUUGUGAGUGAGGAAAACAAAGCAUGGUAUUGAGGUUUAUAUAGGCAUUGGAGUAGUGAAUAGAAAUCCCCUGCCCUUAAACAAUGCCCCAUGCAUGCCCCCAAACCAAAUUAGCGCCACAUGUUUUUUAUUUUUUCCAUUUUAAUUGUAGUUCAUUUUUUAAAUAAAAAAUUUAUAAUGAUUUGAAUUAAUUUUUAACUUAUUAUCAACGUUUUUAUUUUUGUUUUAUUUUUAUUUUACAUUAAUUUUACCUAUUAUUUAAUUAACAAAUUUAUAAUGACUUAGAGUUUAUCUAAUAGAGGUUUUUUUUUAUAAUCGGUCUUAUGAAAAAAUUUUAUAUGGUGGGAACAAGUCCCACAGUGACAACAUGAUCCUUCAAUAUUUGGUGGUGGCAUGCCUUUAGUCAAAGGAUCAGCUAACAACUGCUCAAUGCUAAUGUGCUCAAUGACCAAUUUCUUUUCUUUAACAUGUUCCCUCAUGCCUAGGUACUUAAAGUCGAUAUGUUUACUUCGACUUCCACUUCUUCCGUUCUUAGCCAUAAAGACAGCAGUUGAAUUGUCACAAUAUAUGAAAUAAUCAAAACCCAUAAUGACUCAGCCCAAAAAUCUCGAGCUUCAAACCCAAAUUAAAUUAAAUCAAAACCAUAAUUUAUUAUGUACAAUUGCACAAAAUUAAUAUAAUUUAAGUGUGUCAUACUGCACAUUAAAUUAAAAUUUACGUUUGACAUUAUAGAUAAUAUUCACGUGUAAAAUUUUGAGAUUUAUUCCCUUAAUUAAAGUAAUAUGUCAAAUAGAAUACUUGAACAAUCCUCCAUGUUGGCAAAGUUUAUGUACAGUAGUAGAAGCGAACUAAAUAAUUAGAAUAACUCUAAAGUAUGGCUUACAUAUAAUUUAUUCACAAUGUGACUUAAACUUUGUCCUUCAAGAUUUCACGGUCUCAAUUUAUGUCUUAAAAUUUUAAGAUUAUUUUAGGUUUGUUAAAAAAUUAAAAGUUUAGAAAGUUAGAAUUGUUGCUUGAGGCGUGAAUAUCUUUAUUCUUUAGGAUAUUUGCGGAUUUACCAUCUCUCGGGAUUUUGUUUGUAUCAUGCACAAUGAAAAAAUUGAAAAAAAAAAUUUCACAUUUGAAUGGAAUUGAGCUGUUAGGCUCAAGCCUCAUGUGCGCAUAUAUAUUCUCUUAUUUUGAGUCUUACAAGUUUAUAGUAAACCAAAUCUAUAUAAACAUCAUUUCAUUAGGUCAAUCUAAAAUAUGUUUAAUAUGUGUAAUUCUUUAAAAUAGAUGAAAACUUCAAAUAUGGUUUAGGUCAUUUUCAGAUUUGUCUUAUUUUAGGUUCAAAUCAUUCGAAUUUGAGGCUAAGUUUUUCAUGUCUAAUCAUUAUUGAUCCGAAUCAUUUUAGAUUUUGAUCAUUUUAAGUUCCAAUUAUUUUGUGAUCAAAUCAUUUCAAGUUUAGAUAAAUUUGGGUCGAUUCGAAUUUGACUUAAUUACGUAGUUAACUUUUUUUAUAAUAAAUUGAGCUGAAUGAAAGUUAGAUUGGAAUUUAUUUAGUGUGCCUUUGUGUUUAAUUCGAAAUUUAAACAUCUCCCUUCGAAAUAAACAUGUUAAGACAAUUUUAUUUAAACGACAAUAAUACAACAUAGUUGAUUUGGGAGAUAAACAUGUUAAUUUUUUAAUCCCAACCAAAAUUGUACAUAAUUCUUUUAUGUCAUAUUAAAUACAUGUAGCGUCUUAUAAAAAUUGUCAAUAAAUUAUGCCUAGCGACAACGUUAUUCAACUCUAAUUUCAUUGUUAAUACCUAUUUCUAUUUUUCUUCUACUGUCUUCAACUUUAAAUAUAAAGGGAUUGGAAUUUUAAGAAUUGAGAUUUCUUUUCUCUGUAUUAGUGGACGUUUGAUUUUUUGUUUGAUUGUUUUUUUUACUGGAAUUGACACAUAUCUUUUCAGAUUUAUCAAUAUUUUAAAAUUUAUUUAAGAUAUGUAUAUAAAUAUAUUACAAACGUAAUGGCCCAAUAUUGCCCGGCCCGAUAAUAAAAUAUGAUAAAAUAAAUAAAGGUCCAAUGUCCAGCUUUUACAAACCCAAAAUCAAUACGGCCCAAUUAGCCUAAACCCAAUUAGCUUUAACCCAAACUCUAGCCUAGCCCAAAACCCAAUUUAGCCCAAGACUCUUCCCAAACCCCGAAAACCCUAGCAGCAACAGGAGCCUCCUUCCAGCGCUGCAACCAUAAGCUGGGCUUCUCCACGCACACACUGCCACGCACAUCUCUGUACGACCACCUCCAUACCUCCAGGCUGGCCGAAUACCUGCAAAAAAAAACGCACGGAAACAACAGCAAACAGAAAAACAACAGCAUAGAGGUGAAUUUUUAAUUAUUUUUUCAUUUUAUUUUUUGUAAAUCGGGAUAUAAGAAAGCCAUUCGAAUACUGUAACGGGAUUUACGCAUUCAAUAUACAAAGAAAUUGAGAAUACAAAAGAAUCAAAAAAGCAGAGAAAGGUGAUUUUCUGGGUUUUUUUAUUCCUUUCUAUCUUGUUGGUUACUUGAUUUUUUUUCUUUACUUUUUUAAUUUGUACAUUCAUCAAUCGUUGUUUAAAAAAGAAAUAGGAAAAUGAAAGGGAGGGAAACGUACCUGGUAGCGCGAUCCUGGCUCUCUCCGGCGUCAUUGGAGCAGGGGCUGGGAUCAAUGACUGCUCGAGUACCUUCAAUACCCAGAACGGCGCUGAGUUUUUUUUUCCGUUUAGGUUUUUGUUUUAAUGUAAAGAUAGGUUUUUAGGGUUUAUUUAGUUUUAAGCGAAGGAAUUAAAAUGUCGAUGUUUAAAGUCGAUGCAAUGACUUUGAAACAGCGUCGUUUUAGAGACCAGAUCCGAACGGUGACCCGAUCCGAGAAGGAUCCGUGCAUUAUGGAUCAUUUGGUCUAUUUGUUCAAUAGAUCCAUCUAUGUUUAAUGGAAUUGCGAUUUGAUUUCUUUUAAUUUUUUGUAAUUCGUACUGCAUAUUUUGUUCUGUUUUCAUUUAUCUGUUUUCAUUUAGAUCCAGAUUGAAACGGUAUCGUUUGCUGCAUUUGACUUUGAUUAUUCUAAGCUUUUAGGUUUAAUUGUCGAUUCAGUCCUCCAAUUUUGAAAUAAAUUUUAAUUUAACAUGAGUUUAGCCUUUUAAAAAAAAAGAAAUGAAUAGCAUUUUUUUAAUUAUAAUUAAUCCUAUUUUCGUACAUUAUAAAAUCUAACAUUAUUUGUACUAUUUGAUUUUGAUGUUUUUAAAUCUACAAUUAUUAUAACUUAAGAUAUAAUAGAUCAUUGUUUUAGUUUAUAUCCUAUACUUUAAAUUUAUUAUAUAAUAAUAUUUUGAAUCUACCAUAUUUAUUUAAUUUUGUCUUUUCCUUUUGGUUCCAUUUUAAGUCCCGAUUUUAAAUUUAUUAAUAUUUUCAUUAUAAUUGUUUUUAUUACUCUUCUAAAUUGUUUUAUUAUAUUUAAUUUUGUCUUCAAAAAGUGUUUUUUAAAACAAAUUAAUUCUUAAUUUUAAUUCAUUUUCUAACAUUAUUUUGGUAUUUAGUAUGAUAUUAUUCUCAAAUUUAUUAUUAGUACAUUUUUUAAAAAUAAUACAUUAUUUGUUUAAAUUAUUAUCAAUAUGUUUUAAUUUUAUCAAUAUUAUUUUAAAAAUAUAUAUGAUUUAUAUGAAAUUAUUCUAGUAUAUAUGUAUAUAGAUUACAUCAUUAACUUUGGAUUAACCUCUUUUACAUAAUUUUUUAAAAAUGUUUUAUUCCUUAAACCUUCUUUAUUUUAUUCGUUUUAUAGGUUGCUAAAUUAUUAAUAUGGAUGUUUGUAUGACAUGAUUAAGAUCAAGGUUUAUAUUUUCCUAUUAUUUGUUUAAUUGCUUCUAGUUUAAGUUUAAGUUGUUAUUUAUCUUUUAUAUAUCGUUAUUCAAUCAUGUUUCAUUUGUAAGAGUUGAAUUUUAUUAAAGCAUCAUAAUUCCUAAAAAAGCUUGGUGUUUAAUAGUUCUCGAGAGAAUUGUGCCCUAACUUACUGGGCUUCAAUUCUUCUCGAUGAAUUUAUAUCAUCAAGUAUCCAUUUUAUAUAAUUUUAAAAUAAAAUUCUUUAGAUUUCAAAAUGUGGGAUCCUAACUUACUGGAUACGACAUUUUGUUAUCUCGAUUUUAAAAUAAAGGUAAUAUUUGAUGUUUAAGAAUUUCGAGAAAUUGAACCCUAACUUACUAGAUUCUGAUUUCUCGAUUGACUUAAAUAGUCAAAUAUCCUUCUUAAAACAUGUUUAAAAUUUUUUAAAAAGGGACGAACUUAACUUCGAAGAUUGAACUGUUGCACUCUAACUCACUGAGUGUGGCAAUUUGUUUCUUUGAAAUGGGUCCGUCCACUUAACCAAUUCAAUUGUUUAAGCUUUCAUUUCAUGGGAUCGUAUUUAAAAAUAUUUUCAAGUUUCGACACUAAGACAUUAAAUAACCAAUUCGGUACCAAUUUUGGGCGUUACAAGGGUGCUAACCCUUCCUCAUGCGUAACUGACUUUCGAACUUAUCUUCUCAAAAUUCGCAGACCAAAAAAAUUAUUUUCAUGGUGAUCCGAUCACACCUCAACAAAAAUUGGUGGCGACUCCAAUUUUCAUUUUUUAAAGUCGACUACUAAUAAAUUUUUGUGUUCAAAAAAUGGUUUCGAUAGCUUGGCGACUCCACUGGGGACUAUAAGAGAGUCAAGCCGAAAAAUCGAUUGUUUCCUGUCUUAUCGUCGAAAAUUAAAAAUUUGAUUUGAAAAAUUACGAUCCUUUCUUUGCAUUUGUUUGUAUGAUUACGGUUUUAUACCUUGGCAUCAUAUUGCAUAAAGACUGUUUAGUCUUACCCUUUAAGUGGGAGUGAGUAGCUAUUCCUUCAUGAGGUUUUCACCUCCGUACAGGAUAGUGAAUCACUUUCGGGAUACAUCCGUACCUAUGUCUUUGUGAGAUUUUCAUCUCCGUGCAGCCAUAGGGAAAUGUAUUCCCCCGAACCAAACUCGGUCUGUAUGAGCCUAUAAUGGGUGAAGAUCGAGGAAUCUGUUGGUUCGGGUACCUCAACUUUAGAACCAAACCCCAUAUAGUGGACUUAGAAGCUCAACCUAGUUAGAACUAUUCCAAUCUCUCGUGAUUGCCUAGAUAGAUGAUUGUGUUUCUUAUACUUGAUUUGAAUUUUGUUUUUGUGUUGUACUGACUUGUUUAUGUUUUGUUGAUAUUGUUGCAUGUCACUGCAUAGUUCAAAGAGUGUCGAUUCAAGUUCAGUUACUAAAUUAGAAAACCGUUAUGGCAAACGAAUUUCUGGAUAAAGUGGAGGAUAACGCCAUUGUCAGUAUAUGGUCAGAGAAUGUGCAAUUGGAAAAAGGAGACAAUUUAUCUAAGGGAUACGUGUCAGAGCUUUGGGACUACACUCGUAUUAGUGUGACACAAAAUAGCCUUCAGGAGUUAAAUGAGAUUUGGGAUCGGUGGAAUGAUGAAACCAAGCAGUUGUUCUACUCUAAUUACGGGGACUUGCAGUACUUACUUAAAAUCAAGGUGGAUGAAAGACUGUUUCGCGCUCUCGCUCAAUAUUGGAAUCCUGCAUAUAGUUGUUUUACUUAUGGGAACGUAGAUUUGGUGCCCACAGUGGAGGAAUAUACAGCUUUACUACACUGCCCUAGGCUUCAGGUUGAUAAAGCAUAUUCUAGAGCCGCAUAUGUCCCAGCGUUUUGGAAGAAAUUAAUGAGUAUUACCGGAAUGAGCGAAUAAUGGAUCACGGCCAAGAUCAAACAGAAGGGCGAGUGUAAAUGUAUCCCAUGGAGGAAUUUGCGAGACUUGAUCCUAGCACAUCCUGAUGGGAAAAAGAAAGUUGAUGUGUUUGCUUUGAGUAUCUACGGGUUAGUGAUUUUCCCUAGAGCAUUGGGGCAUGUUAACGAAGUGGUUUCAGAUCUUUUUGAUCGGUUGGGUAAAGGGGUCAAGUCUGUUCCUGCGAUUUUGGCUGAAACGUUUAGAUCUUUGAAUGCGUGUAGGCAUGCUGGUGAAGGCAGAUUUAUAGGUUGUGCGCAAUUGUUGAUAGCUUGGUUCCAUAGUCAUUUCUUGAAGGUCGACAAAGUUUCGUAUCGGGUUUUCUCUGGGCAUUACUCCCCGUUAAAAGAGAUAGUGGCUACGCCAAGAAAGGACGAUAUUUCAGAAGAAAAUUGGAUAGCAAUUCUGUAAAAUCUUCAAGAGGAUGAUGUGGAGUGGAGAGCUCAUUGGUUGAUUCCUGAUGGAAUUCUCUACCGUUGUGAAAGCUUUGACUGGGUUUCGUUGCUUGGGAUUUGGGGAGCCGUCGGGUAUGCACCUUUGCUGGUCCUAAGGCAAUACAAUUCAAGACAGUUUGUGCCGGCAAUGUAUGGUUUAGCUCAAUGUGAGUUCUUGUACCGAGGAGACAAUUACAAGAAAAAGGUGAAAGAAAUUUCUCAGGCUUGUAAUGAGGUUCAUAGGAUGAAAAGGCUAGCUAUGGGUUCGAUGACAACUCCAGAGUAUGGUGAGUGGCGACGUAAAAUAAUUAAUGAUAGCAUUCUGGAGUUAAACUUGGAGGGUGUUCGACUAAUGGAAGAGUACCUACAAGUGAUCCCAUCAGAGUUGGAGAUUAUAAAACAAGAUUUUGAAAAGAGGAAUUUAGAACUUGAAAAGAAAAUAGAGCGGUUGGAAGAAGAGAAGAUGCAUUUGAGGCUAGAUAUUGACGUCCAAAAGUUAAAAGCUGAAAAAUUAAAGAAGUGGAAGAAUAAAGUAGAGGAGGAUCUGGAUAGCUUAAAGACGGACUACAAAAGGCUACGAGUAUCAAUGAGAACUGCUGGGCUGGGAAAGAAUUCAGAGCAGUGGCGACAGGAGAUCUAGGAAGAAAGAAACAAAGUCGAUCGGUGGGAAAGAAAGUCCUGGGAGGCUCAAGUUCAGAACGAGACCUUAGAACGGCAUGUGUUAGAAACUCAAAACUAUUAAGUGGACUUAAAAGCUAGAAUAGCAGAACUAAAGAGAUCACUUGCUGCGUAUAGAAGUCGUAAUUCUGUAGUGGAAUUAAAGAUAAGUCUGUGCAAGAUUGAAGAAAUGAAAAAGAGGAUAGAAGAAUUGGAGUAUGCAUUACAAGGCUGUAAAAAACGGAUCGAAUCCUUGGAAGGAAAUGAAGAGCGUUAGAGGGAGCAAAUUUAUCAUUCGCAGAAUCAAAUUUAGAAUAGAGAUUACAUUAUGGGCAGAGCUAUUGCUCAGAUUCGGGAGGUAGGUGAUCAUUUGCAAACAAUGGCAAUUCAGGCUGACGUGUUAAACGUAAAGUAUGAACUGGAAUCAGAUCGAGGGCAGGAGUUAGCUUCGCUGUUGAAGGAAGUUAAAGCUUUGAGUAUUAGGGCAAAGGCAUACUUGUAAUUCAUUUUAUGUAAAGAAUUUUGUUUAUCAAUAAAUUUUUCUAAAGGAAAUUGGAUCAGAAUCGACGCUCUUUUUGCAUUGAUUUCAUGCAUUUGCAUUACAUGACAUCAUAUGCAUUCAAGACUAUUAAGAAGAGGUUUUAAUUGGUUAAAAUUGUGCUUCAGUUAAUCUGGAAACCAGUAAAAAUUCAUCAAUCAAGCACCACUACGGUACCCGUGCGAAAUCAAAAAUUAUGGAUCAAAGAUUGGAAAAGCUUGAGCGCUUUCAAAAGGAAAUGCAAGAUCAAAUGAAAGAACAAAUGGAAAAGAUUCAGCAUGACAUGAUACAAAAGAUGCAGGAGUCUUAAAAUGACAUGAUGACUAAGUUGACGCAAUUAAUAACCAGAGGAGUAGAUAAAGGGAAAGGUCCUGUGAUUUGUAAUGAAGAAGAAAACAAUGAUGAACCACUUUUUCCUCCAGGUUUUACGCCUCCGCACGCGCAAGUUUAGACUGAACUGCAUCCGCGGAGACCUUCUGUUUCGAUUAGGCCUCAGCAUUUUCAAGGGGAUGUUUCAAUGCCGAAGACCUUUCAGGUCGGAUCUGGCUCUAAUCUUGGUGAUAAUUUGAAUAAUAUUGUUGUCCCGUAUUUCGAUAAAGUAGCUGAGAAGGAUAAGGUGAAGGAAGAGUUUCCAAAGCAGUUUGAGGAGAAAUAGAAAUGGAUUGAAGAGAAAUUUAGAACGAUGGAAAGCAUUGAAAGCUAUGGUGGAAUAGAUGAAAAAAAUCUGAGUCUGGUUUCGAAUUUGGUACUUUAUUACAAGUUUAAGAUGUCAGAAUUUGAGAAAUACAAUGGGACCAGUUGCCCUGAGGCCCAUAUCACCAUGUUCUGUAGGAGAAUAACGGGGUAUAUUAAUAAUGACCAAUUAUUAAUACAUUGCUUUCAGGAUAGUCUUACAAGGGCGGCGUCAAAAUGGUAAAAUCAGCUGAGCCGAACCAAAAUCGCUACUUGGAGGGAUUUGGCACAGGCUUUCAUGAGACAGUACAAUCAUGUAUUACAAAUGACGCCUAAUCGAAUAACUUUACAGAAUUUGGAGAAAAAAUCAAACGAAAGCUUCAGACAGUAUGCGCAGCGAUGGAGGGAAAUCGCAGUUCAGGUUCAGUCAGCACUUGUGGAAAAGAAAAUGACAAUGCUUUUUAUCAAUACAUUGAAAGCCCCGUUCAUUACUCACAUGUUGGGAAGUGCUUCAAAGAACUUCUCGGAUAUAAUCAUGAAUGGUGAAAUGAUUGAGCAUGCUAUUAAGAGUGGAAUAAUAGAUGGAGGGGAGAAUAAUAGAAGGACAGCCCCAAAGAAAAGAGAAAAUGAAGUGAGCAAUGUGAGCGGAUACGGCAGGUCAAUUACGGUUAAUCAACCAGGAAAGGCAGUUGCUAAUCAAUAAAGCUCAUCAAGACAAGAAGUAGGAGGGAGGUAAAACACUAAAAAACCCUAGUUUACGCCAAUUUCGAUGUCAUACGAGGAGUUAUAUCAGAAUUUAUUUAAUGCAUAUGGUGUUUCCCCUCAUUAUUUGACCCCUUUACAACCCCCUUAUCCCAAAUGGUACGAUAUAAAUGCACAAUGUGACUAUCAUGCGGGAAUCUCGGGGCAUUCAAUAGAGAAUUGCAUAACUUUCAAGAAGGUAGUGGAAAAACUCAUCCGCAUGAGUGUUGUCAAAUUUGAUGACUCACCUAACGUAGAAAAUCCGUUACCUAAUCAUGCUGAUAAGGGAGUGAAUAUGAUGGGUGAAAGUAUGGGAGAAAAAGUCAAGAAUGACAUCGGUGAAGUAAAAACUCCAUUGAAACAAGUCUGGAAAGAGAUGGUGAAAAGAGGACUAGUCAUUUCAGAUUUUGAGGAAGAAGAUGAGGUUGAAAAAUAUUGUGAAUUCCACCGUGAAGUAGGACAUGAGAUUCAAGAAUGUGAAGAAUUUAAAGCUCUGGUCCAAAGCAUGAUGGAUAACAAGGAAAUGAAGUUCUAUGAGGAAACAGAGGAAGAAAGAAGCAUAUGCGCGUCGGAAUCAACAACGAAGAUUUCAAAAAUAAAUCAUCCUGUGGUCAUUAUUUCGCACCCUAAGAACAGUAAGGCUAAGGUCUAGGUAACACCAAAAAUUAUAAUCCAUAAGCCGUCAAAUUUCUCAUAUAAAGAUAGUAAAAUGGUUCCGUGGAAGUAUGGAUGCAAUGUGACAAUCUCAACGUUUUUAUUUUUGUUUUAUUUUUAUUUUACAUUAAUUUUACCUAUUCUUUAAUUAAAAAAUUUAUAAUGACUUAGAGUUUAUUUAAUAGAGUUUUUUUUUAUAAUCGGUCUUAUAAUAAAAUUUUAUAAGGUGGGACCAAGUCCCACAGUGACAACAUGAUCCCUCAAUUUUUGGUGGUGGGAUGCCUUUAGUCAAAGGAUCAACUAACAUCUGCUCAAUGCUAAUGUGCUCAAUGACCAAUUUCUUUUCAUUAACAUGUUCCCUUAUGCCUAGGUACUUAAAGUCGAUAUGUUUACUUCGACUUCCACUUCUUUCAUUCUUAGCCAUAAAGACAGCAGUUGAAUUGUCACAAUAUAUGAAAUAAUCAAAACCCAUAAUGACUCAGCCCAAAAAACUCGAGCUUCAAACCCAAAUUAAAUUAAAUCAAAACCAUAAUUUAUUAUGUACAAUUGCACAAAAUUAACAUAAUUUAAGUGUGUCAUACUGCACAUUAAAUUAAAGUUUACGUUUGACAUUAUAGAUAAUAUUCACGUGUAAAAUUUUGAGAUUUAUUCCUUUCAUUAAAGUAAUAUGUCAAAUAGAAUACUUGAACAAUCCUCCAUGUUGGCAAAGUUUAUGUACAGUAGUAGAAGUGAACUAAAUAAUUAGAAUAAAUCUAAAGUAUGUCUUACAUAUAAUUUAUUCACAAUGUGACUUAAACUUUGUCCUUCAAGAUUUCACGGUCUCAAUUUAUGUCUUAAAAUUUUAAGAUCAUUUUAGGUUUGUUAAAAAAUUAAAAUUUUAGAAAGUUAGAAUUGUUGCUUGAGGCGUGAAUAUUCUUAUUCUUUAGGAUAUUUGUGGAUUUACCAUCUCUUAGGAUUUCGUUUGUAUCAUGCACAAUGAAAAAAUUGAAAAAAAAAUUUCCCAUUUGAAUGGAAUUGAGCUAUUAGGCUCAAGCCUAGUGUGCGCAUAUAUAUUCUCUUAUUUUGAGUCUUACAAGUUUAUAGUAAACCAAAUCUAUAUAAACAUCAUUUAAUAGGUCAAUCUAAAAUAUGUUUAAUAUGUGUAAUUCUUUAAAAUAGAUGAAAACUUCAAAUAUGGUUUAGGUCAUUUUCAGAUUUGUCUUAUUUUAGGUUCAAAUCAUUCGAAUUUGAGGCUAAGUUUUCCAUGUCUAAUCAUUAUUGAUCCGAAUCAUUUUAGAUUUUGAUCAUUUUAAGUUCCAAUUAUUUUGUGAUCAAAUCAUUUCAAGUUUAGAUAAAUUUGGGUCAAUUCGAAUUUGACUUAAUUACGUAGUUAACUUUUUUUUAUAAUAAAUUGAGCUGAAUGAAAGUUAGAUUGAAAUUUAUUUAGUGUGCCUUUGUGUUUAAGUCGAAAUUUAAACAUCUUCCUUCAAAAUAAACAUGUUAAGACAAUUUUAUUUUAAAGACAAUAAUACAACAUAGUUGAUUUGGGAGAUAAACAUGUUAAUUUUUUAAUCCCAACCAAAAUUGUACAUAAUUCUUUUAUGUCAUAUUAAAUACAUGUAACGUCUUAUAAAAAUUGUCAAUAAAUUAUGCCUAGCGACAACGUUAUUCAACUCUAAUUUCAUUGUUAAUACCUAUUUCUAUUUUUCUUCUACUGUCUUCAACUUUAAAUAUAAAGGGAUUGAAAUUUUAAGAAUUGAGAUUUCUUUUCUCUGUAUUAGUGGACGUUUGAUUUUUUGUUUGAUUGUUUUCUUUACUGGAAUUGACACAUAUCUUUUCAGAUUUAUCAAUAUUUUUAAAAUUUAUUUAAGAUAUGUAUAUAAAUAUAUUACAAACGUAAUGGCCCAAUAUUGCCCGGCCCGAUAAUAAAAAAUGAUAAAAUAAAUAAAGGUCCAAUGUCCAGCUUUUACAAACCCAAAAUCAAUACGGCCCAAUUAGCCUAAACCCAAUUAGCUUUAACCCAACUUAGCCCAAGACUCUCCUUAAACCCUGAAAACCCUAGGCAACAGGAGCCUCCUUCCAGCGCCGCAACCAUCAGCUGGGCUUCUCCAUGCACACGCUGCCACGCACAUCUCCGUACGGCCACCUCCGUACCUCCAGGCUGGCCGAAUACCUGUAAAAAAAACGCACGGAAACAACAGCAAAUAGAAAAACAACAGCAUAGGGGUGAAUUUUUAAUUAUUUUUUCAUUUUAUUUUCUGUAAAUCGGGAUAUAAGAAAGCCAUUCGAAUACUAUAACGGGAUUUACGCAUUCAAUAUACAAAGAAAUUGAGAAUACAAAAGAAUCAAAAAAGCAGAGAAAGGUGAUUUUCUAGGUUUUUUAUUCCUUUCUAUCUUGUUGGUUACUUGAUUCUUUUCUUUACUUUUUUAAUUUGUACGUUCAUCAAUCGUUGUUUAAAAAAGAAAUAGGAAAAAGAAAGGGAGGGAAACGUACCUGGUAGCGCGACCCUGGCUCUCUCCGGCGUCAUCGGAGCAGGGGCUGGGAUCAAUGACUGCUCGAAUACUUUCAAUACCUAGAGCGGCGCUGAGUUUUUUUUCGUUUAGGUUUUUGUUUUAAUGUAAAGAUAGGUUUUUAGGGUUUAUUUAGUUUUAAGUGAAGGAAUUAAAACGUCGACGUUUAAAGUCGAUGCAAUGACUUUGAAACAGCGUCGUUUUAGAGACCAGAUCCGAACGGUGACUUGAUCCGGGAAGGAUCCAUGCAUUAUGGAUCAUUUGGUCUAUUUGUUCAAUAGAUCCCUCUAUGUUUAAUGGAAUUGCGAUUUGAUUUCUUUUAAUUGUUUGUAAUUUGUACUGCAUAUUUUGUUCUGUUUUCAUUUAGAUCCAGAUUGAAAUGGUAUCGUUUACUGCGUUUGACUUUGAUUAUUCGGAGCUUUUGGGUUUAAUUGUCGAGUCAGUCCUCCAAUUUUGAAAUAAAUUUUAAUUUAACAUGAGUUUAGCCUUUUAAAAAAGAAGAAGAAGAAAUCAAUAGCAUUUUUUAAUUAUAAUUAAUCCUAUUUUCGUACAUUAUAAAACCUAACAUUAUUUGUAAUAUUUGAUUUUUAUGUUUUUAAAUCUACAAUUAUUAUAACUUAAGAUAUAAUAGAUCAUUGUUUUAGUUUAUAUCCUAUACUUUAAAUUUAUUAUAUAAUAAUAUUUUGAAUCUACCAUAUUUAUUUAAUUUUGUCUUUUCCUUUUGGUUCCAUUUUAAGUCCCGAUUUUAAAUUUAUUAAUAUUUUCAUUAUAAUUGUUGUUAUUACUCUUCUAAAUUGUUUUACUAUAUUUAAUUUUCUCUUCAAAAAGUGUUUUUUAAAACAAAUUAAUUCUUAAUUUUAAUUCAUUUUCUAACAUUAUUUUGGUAUUUAGUAUGAUAUUAUUUUCAAAUUUAUUAUUAGUACAUUUUUUAAAAUAAUACAUUAUUUUUUUAAAUUAUUAUCAAUAUGUUUUAUUUUAUCAAUAUUAGUUUAAAAAUAUAUAUGAUUUAUAUGAAAUUAUUCUAGUAUAUAUGUAUAUAGAUUACAUCAUUAACUUUAGAUUAACCUCUUUUACAUAAUUUUUUUAAAAUGUUUUAUUCCUUAAACCUUAUUUAUUUUAUUUGUUUUAUAGGUUGUUAAAUUAUUAAUAUGGAUGUUUGUAUGACAUGAUUAAGAUCAAUGUUUAUAUUUUCCUAUUAUUUGUUUAAUUGCUUCUAGUUUAAGUUUAAGUUGUUAUUUAUCUUUUAUAUAUCGUUAUUUAAUCAUGUUUUAUUUGUAAGAAUUGAAUUUUAUUAAAGCAUCAUAAUUCCUAAAAAAGCUUGGUGUUUAAUAGUUCUCAAGAGAGUUGUGCCCUAACUUACUGGGCUUCAAUUCUUCUCGAUGAAUUUAUAUCAUCAAGUAUCCACUUUAUACAAUUUUAAAAUAAAAUUCUUUAGAUUUCAAAAUGUGGGAUCCUAGCUUACUGGAUACGACAUUUUGUUAUCUCGAUGUUAAAAUAAAUGCAAUAUUUGAUGUUUAAAAAUUUCAAGAAAUCGAACCCUAACUUACUAGAUUCUGAUUUCUCGAUUGACUUAAAUAGUCAAAUAUCCUUCUUAAAACAUGUUUAAAAUUUUCAAAAAAGGGACGAACUUAACUUCGAAGAUUGAACUGUUGCACUCUAACUCACUGAGUGUGGCGAUUUGUUUCUUUGAAAUGGGUCCGUCCACUUAACCAAUUCAAUUGUUUAAGUUUUCAUUUCAUGGGAUCGUAUUUAAAAAUCUUUUCAAGUUUCGACACUAAGACAUUAAAUAACCAAUUCGGUACCAAUUUUGGGCGUUACGAGGGUGCUAACCCUUCCUCGUGUGUAACCGACUUCCGAACUUAUCUUCUCAAAAUUCGCAGACCAAAAAACUUGUUUUCAAGGUGAUCCGAUCACACCUCAACAAAAAUCGGUGGCGACUCCAAUUUUCAUUUUUUAAAGUCGACUACUAAUAAAUUUUUGUUUUCAAAAAAUGAUUUCGACAACAAAUAUAAAAUAAAUGAAACUAAAUACAUUUCAAAUAUAAAAUAUUCAAUAAUAAACUUAACAAAUAAAAAUUUAUCAUUGAAAUAAAUCCAAAAUUAUUAAUAACAAUCCAUCAUUUAAUAUGAAAUUUUAAAGAUUUAGCUCAUUUACUUAAUAAGAGAAGCUGAAAGGUGAACGAAUAUAUAUUUCUUUUAGAAUCAGGUGAACGGUUUUUUCUUAACUAUAUUUUGAAUGUGAAAGUAUAUUCCAUUUUUUAAAAACUUUACAUUUCCAUGUAGCAUUUUUAGUUAGUUACGUUUCAAUUAAGUUUUUAGCAUAAUAGUAAAUAAUUAAAAGUUUAAUAUUUUUAAUAUUAUUCAUGCACAGGACGGUGCAUUAUGUUCUGGUAGGUGUGACAGGAAUUGAUCGGAAUGAGUUGGUGCAAUUGGUACAGACCGAAAUUUUGACCAGUGUAGAAAAAGCGUGUUGGGUGUUUUGCAAUGUUAUUAAAACCAAACUAAACAGACCAAGAACCGAUGAACCUGAGGACUAGAGUAAACUGUAGUUAAACUACAAAUCAUCAGUCGAUUAAGCCGUAUUUAAACAUUUUCUAAACUUGAAAAAUAAAAAAUUCACAUCAAAUCCCUUGAGCUUUUGUCACACUUCUUAUCUGCACUCAAUGAAAUAAAACACAACAAAAAAUAAGCACCAUUCCUUUUAUUACUUUUUCUACUAAAGUAAGUUUUUUUUUCUCGUAAAAAACCUAAGAUGGACUUAUAACAUUCAAUCAAAGGAAAAACAAAUUAGGAAAGUAGAAAGAUGGGGAGAGAGUUUUAAAAUUCAAAGCCUUUAAAAUUGAUAGAUGAGUUUGGGGUUAUUAAUAUUAUUUUAUAUUGUUGAAUAGAAAAUGAAUUGUAUUGGUGGUUGAAUGUGUGAGAUUAAGAAUUAAUGAUUUGAUUAAUUUGAUUAUCAAUCUAAUUUUAUAAAUAGUAAUAUUUCGAUAUAAAAUUGAAACAGUAGACACAAAUGAGCAUAACCGAAAUCUGUAACCACCUUAAUUUAAUACAUAAUUUGAGAUUCAUAUAAAAUAUUAUCUUUGAAAUAUAUUGAAAGAGGAAAGUAAUCGUACGUAAAUGCAUAACUUGGAAGAGAUAAUGAAGCAGGAAUCAUUAUAUUAACAGUGGUAUUUUCUCGAUGUACGGCUGCACAAUAUCUUGACCUGCAUUUCUCGUUUGAUUCUUUUCUUAAUUAGCUAAACUCAUGUUAACAAUGGUAUAACAGUAAUUAAUUACUUCAUGGACAGAACAUCAAUAUAUAAAUACCCCAUAUAUAAUAAGCAACAACGUAUCAAAAUACACCAAAUAAUGGGAACUGGAGAACGCCCAUUUAUACAAACAAAUAUAAGUAGGAAAAAUCAAUACUCAUAAUAAAGACACAAAGAGGACUAAAAACCUUAUUAAACUAGAUCCAGUAUGUAGCAUAACAGAAAAGGGGGCAUUUCAAGGAGUAGAACUAGAAGGUGGUGGAGAAAAGAAAGGAAUAGAGGGAACUGCAGCUGGGAUUGAGGGAAUGUUUGGAAGAGGCGGCAGUCCUCUUGGCAAUGUGGUAGGAAGUGGAGGAAGCGCCCCAGGGUUUGGGAGAUAAGGGAAAGAUGGCAAUGGUGGAAAAUAGAAAGGAAUAGGGGGAACAGCAGUUGGGAUUGUGGGGACUGAGGGAAUGCUUGGCAGAGGGGGUAGUCCUGUUGGCAAUGUGGUAGGAAGUGGAGGAAGCGCCCCAGGCCAUGGGAAUGAUUGUCGGGAUGGCGUUGGGAGAUUAGAGAAAGAUGGUAAACUUCGCGGUUGAGGCUGCUGCAGAAGGUGACGAGCUGCUACCCCAACAUCAAUGCUUGCAAAUGACAAAGCAAUCAAGAAUGCUAAAGCAAGGCAAUUGAAAGAGGCCAUUUUUGUUCAGAGAUUUCGAAACAAAUGAAGCAGAUGAAACAAAGUUCUUUAUCUGAAUAGUUGUGGGUGAAGAAAACAAAGCACGGUAUUGAGGUUUAUAUAGGCAUUGGAGCAAUGAAUAGAAAUCCCCUGCCCCUAAACAAUGCCCCAUGCAUGCCCCCAAACCAAAAUAGCGCCACAUGUUUUUUAUUUUUUUCCAUUUUAGUUGUAGUUCAUUUUUUAAAUAAAAAUUUAUAAUGAUUUGGAUGAAUUUUUAACUUAUUAUCAACGUUUUUGUUUUUGUUUUAUUUUCUAUUAAUUUUACCUAUUCUUUAAUUAACAAAUUUAUAAUGACUUGGAAUUAAUUUAACAGUGUUUUUUUUUAUAAUCGUUCUUAUAAUAAAAUUUAAAAAGGUGGGAACGAGUCCCACAAUGACAACAUGAUCCAUGCCUUUAGUCAAAGGUUCAGAUAACAUCUGCUCAGUGUUAAUGUGCUCAAUGACGACUUUCUUUUCUUUAACAUAUUCCCUUAUGGCUAGAUACUUAAAAUCGAUAUGUUUACUUCGACUUUCACUUUUGUCGCUCUUAGCCAUAAAUACAGCAAUUGAAUUGUCACAAUAUAUGAAAUAAUCGAAACCUAUAAUGACUCAGCUCAAAAAACUCGAGCCUCAAACCCAAAUUAAAUUAAAUCAAAAUCAUAAUUUAUUAUAUACAAUUGCAUAAAAUUAACAUAAUUUAAGUGUCAUAGUGCACAUUAAAUUAAAGUUUAUGUUUGACAUUAUAGAUUGAAGCAAUAUUCAUGUGUAAAAUUUUGAGAUUUAUUUCCUUAAUGAAAGUAAUAUUUCAAAUAGAAUACUUGAACAAUCCUCCAUGUUGGCAAACUUUAUGUACAUUAGAAACGAACUAAAUAAUUAGAAUAAAUCUAAAGUAUGGCUUACAUUUAAUUUAUUCAUAAUGUGACUUAAACUUUGGCCUUCAAGAUUUCACGGUCUCAAAUUAUGUCUUAAAAUUUUAAGAUCAUUUUAGGUUUGUUAAAAACAUCAAUAGUUUAGAAAGUUAGAAUUGUUGCUUGAGGCGUGGAUUUCCCUAUUCUUUAGGAUAUUCGUGGAUUUACUAUCCCUCAAGAUUUAAUUUGUAUCAUGUGCAAUGAAAAAAUUGAAAAAGAAAAUUCCCAUUUGAAUGGAAUUGAGCUAUUAGGCUCAGGCCUCGUGUGCGCAUAUAUAUUCUCUUAUUUUGAGUCUUACAAGUUUAUAGUAAACCAAAUCUAUAUAAACAUCAUUUUAUAAGUGUAUCUAAGAUAUGUUUAAUAUGUGUAAUUCUUUAAAAUACAUGAAAACUUCAAAUGUGGUUUAGGUCAUUUUCAGAUUUGUCUUAUUUAGGUUCAAAUCAUUCGAAUUUGAGGCUAAGUUUUUCAUGUGUAAUCAUUAUUGAUCCGAAUCAUUUUAGAUUUUGAUCAUUUUAAGUUCUAAUUAUUUUGUGAUCAAAUCAUUUCAAGUUUAGAUAAAUUUGGGUCAAUUUUGAAUUUGACUUAAUUACGUAAUUAACCUUUUUUAUAAUAAAUUGAGCUGAAUGAACUUUAGAUUGGAAUUUAUUUAGUGUACCUUUGUGUUUAAGUUGAAAUUUAAACAUCUGUAUUAGAAAUACACAUGUUAAUACAAUUUUAUGUUAAAGACAAUAAUACGACAAAAUUAAUUUGGGAGAUAAACAUGUUAAUUUUUUAAUCCCAACCAAAAUUGUACAUAAUUGUUUUAUAUCAUAUUAAAUACAUGUAACGUCUUAUAAAAAUUGUCAAUAAAUUAUGCCUAGCGACAACGUUAUUCAAAUCUAAUUUCAUUGUUAAUACCUAUUUCUAUUUUUCUUCUAAUAUCUUCAACUUUAAAUAUAAAGGAAUUGAAAUUUUAAGAAUUGAGAUUUCUUUUCUUUAUAUUAGUGGACAUUUGAUUUUUUGUUUGAUUUUUUUUACUAGAAUUGAUGCAUAUCUUUUCAGAUUUAUCAAUAUUUUUUAAAAUUAUUUAAGAUAUGUAUAUAAAUAUAUUACAAAUAUAAAAUGAAUGAAACUAAAUACAUUUCAAAUAUAAAAUAUUCAUUAAUAAACUUAACAAAUAAAAAUUUAUCAUUCAAAGAAAUCCAAAAUUAUUAAUAAUAAUCCAUCAUUUAAUAUGAAAUUCUAAAGAUUUAGCUCAUUUACUUAAUAAAAGAAGGUGAAAGGUGGACGAAUAUUUUUUAUUUGAUAAUCAGGUAAAUGGUUUUUUCUUAAUUAUAUUUUGAAUGUGAAAGUAUAUUCCAUUUUUUUUUAAAAUUUACAUUCCGAUGUAGCGUUUUUAAUUAGUCACGUUUCAAUUAAGUUUUUAGCAUAAUAGUAAAUUAUUAAAAGUUUAAUAUUUUUAAUAUUAUUCAUGCAUAGGACGGUGCACUAUGUUCUGGCAGGUGUGACAGGAAUUGAUCGGAAUGAGUUGGUGCAAUUGGUACAGACCAAAAUUUUUACCAGUGUAGAAAAAGGGUUUUGGGUGUUUCGCAAUGUUAUUGAAACCAAACCAAACAGACCAAAAACCGAUGAACCCGAGAACUAGAGUAAACUGCAGUUAAACUGCAAAUCAUCAGCUGAUUAAGCCGCAUUUCGCAUUUUCUAGACUGGAAAACAAAAAUUUCACUUCAGAUCCCUUGAGCUUUUGUUACACUUCUUCUCUUAACUCAAAAUAAAACAAACCAUACAAAGAAUAAGCACUGUUUCUUUUAUUACUUUUUUAUUACUCAGUGAAAAACCUGGACUUAUAACAUUCAAUCAAAGGAAAAAAAAGACAAAUUAGGAAAGAUGAAAGAUGGGGAGAGGGUUUUAAAAUUCAAAGCCGUCAAAAUAGAUGAGUUUGGGGUUAUUAAUAUUAUUUUAUAUUGUUCAAUAGAAAAUUAAUUGUAUCGGUGGUUGAAUCUGUGAGAUCAAAAAUUAAUUAAUUGAUUAAUUUAAUUAUCAAUCUAAUUUUAAAAAUAUUAAUAUUUCGGUAUAAAAUUAAUACAGUGCACACAAAUUAAUAUAACCGAAAUCUGUACGAAACCGAGCACCUUAAUUUAAUACAUAAUUUGACAUUCAUAUAAAAUAUUAUCUUGGAAAUAUAUUGAAAGAGGAAAGUAAUCGUAUGUAAAUGGAUAACUUGGAAGAGAUAAUGAAGCAGGAAUCAUUAUAUUAACAGUGGCAUCUUCUCGAUGUACGGCGGCUCACUAUUUUGACUGCAUUUAUCGUUUGAUUCUUUUCUUAAUUAGCCAAACUCAUGUUAACAAUGGUAUAACAGUAAUUAAUUACUUCAUGGAUAGAACAUCAAUAUAUAAAUACCCCAUAUAUAAUAAGCAACAACGUUUCAAAAUACACCAAAUAAUGGGAAUUGGAGAACGCCCAUUUAUACAAACAAAUAUAAGUGGGCAAAAUCAAUACUCAUAAUAAAGACACAAAGACGACUAAAAACCUUAUUAAACUAGAUCCAGUAUGCAGCAUAACAGAAAAGGGGGUAUUUCAAGGAGUAGAGCGAGAAGGUGGUGGAGAAAAGAAAGGAAUAGAAGGAACUGCAGUUGGGAUUGAGGGAAUGCUUGGCAGAGGCGACAGUCCUCUUGGCAAUGUGGUAGGAAGUGGAGGAAGCGCCCCAGGGUUUGGGAGAUAAGGGAAAGAUGGCAAUGGUGGAAAAGAGAAAGGAAUAGGGGGAAUUGCAGUUGGGAUUGUGGGGACUGAGGGAAUGCUUGGCAGAGGGGGCAGUCCUGUUGGGAAUGUGGUAGGAAGUGGAGGAAGCGCCCCAGGCCAUGGGAAUGAUUGUCGGGAUGGCGUUGGGAGAUUAGGGAAAGAUGGUAAACUUUGCGGUUGAGGCUGCUGCAGAAGGUGACGAGCUGCUACCCCAACAUCAAUGCUUGCAAAUGACAAAGCAAUCAAGAAUGCUAAAGCAAGGAAAUUGAAAGAGGCCAUUUUUGUUCAGAGAUUUCGAAACAAAUGAAGCAGAUGAAACAAAGUUCUUUAUCUGAAUAGUUGUGGGUGAAGAAAACAAAGCAUGGUAUUGAGGUUUAUAUAGGCAUUGGAGCAGUGAAUAGAAAUCCCCUGCCCCUAAACAAUGCUCCAUGCAUGCCCCCAAACCAAAAUAGCUCCACAUGUUUUUUAUUUUUUUCAUUUUAAUUUUUUAAAAUAAAAACUCUGUAAUGAUUUGAAUUAAUUUUUAACUUAUUAUCAACGUUUUUAUUUUUGUUUUAUUUUUAUUUUACAUUAAUUUUACCUAUUCUUUAAUUAACAAAUUUAUAAUGACUUAGAGUUAAUUUGAGAGAUUUUUUUUUUAUAAUUGGUCUUAUAAUAAAAUUUUACAAAGCAGAAACAAGUUCCACUGUGAAAACAUGAUCCUUAAAUUUUUGGAGAUAACCAUGUUAAUUUUUUAAUCCCAACCAAAAUUCUAAAUAAUUCUUUUAUGUCAUAUUAAAUACACGUAACGUCUUAUAAAAAUUGUCAAUAAAUUAUGCAUAGUGACAAGGUUAUUCAAAUCUAAUUUCAUUGUUAAUACCUAUUUCUAUUUUUCUUCUACUGUCUUCAACUUUAAAUAUAAAGGGAUUGAAAUUUUAAGAAUUGAGAUUUCUUUUCUCUGUAUUAGUGGACGUUUGAUUUUUUAUUUUAUUUUUUUAUUGGAAUUGAUACAUAUCUUUUCAGAUUUAUCAAUAUAUUUUAAAAUUUUAUAAGAUAUGUAUAUAAAUAUAUUAAAAAUAUAAAAUGAAUGAAACUAAAUACAUUUCACAUAUAAAAUAUUCAUUAAUCAACUUAAGAAAUAAAAAUUUAUCAUUCAAAUAAUCCAAAAUUAUUACUAAUAAUCUCAUUUAAUAUGAAAUUUUAAGGAUUUAGCUCAUUUACUUAAUAAAAGUAGUUGAAAGGUGAAUGAAUAUUUUUUUUAUAAUCGGGUGAAUGGUUUUUUUCUUAAUUAUAUUUUUAAUGUGAAAGUAUAUUCUAAUUUUUUUUAAAAACUUUACAUUCCGAUGUAGCAUUUUUAAUUAGUCACGUUUCAAUUAAGUUUUUAGCAUAAUAGAAAAUAAUUAAAAGUUUAAUAUUUUUAAUAUUAUUCAUGCGCAGGACGGUGCACUAUGUUCUGGCAGGUGUGACUGGAAUUGAUCGGAAUGAGUUGGUGCAAUUGGUACGGACCGAAAUUUUUACCAGUGUAGAAAAAGGGUGUUGGGUGUUUCACAAUAUUAUUGAAAGCAAACCAAAAAGACCAAGAACCGAUGAACCCGAGAACUAGAGUAAACUGCAGUUAAACUACAAAUCAUCUGUCGAUUAAGUCGUAUUUUCACAUUCUUUAAACCGGAAAAACAAAAAUUACACUUCAAAUCCCUUGAGCCAUUGUUAUACUUUUUCUCUGCACUCAAUGAAAUAAAACACAACAUAAAAAAAAUAAGCACCAUCUCUUUUAUUACUUUUACUACUAAAAUAACUUUUUUUUUCUUGUGAAAAACCUAAGAUGGACUUAUAACAUAUAAUAAAAAGGGAAAAAAAAGACAAAUUAGGAAAGAUGAAAGAUGGGGAGAGGGUUUUAAAAUUCAAAGCCGUCAAAAUAGAUGAGUUUGGGGUUAUUAGUAUUAUUUUAUAUUGUUCAAUAGAAAAUUAAUUGUAUCGGUGGUUGAACCUGUGAGAUCAAAAAUUAAUUAAUUGAUUAAUUUAAUUAUCGAUCUAAUUUUAAAAAUAUUAAUAUUUCGGUAUAAAAUUAAUACAGUGCACACAAAUUAAUAUAACCGAAAUCUGUACGAAACCGAGCACCUUAAUUUAAUACAUAAUUUGACAUUCAUAUAAAAUAUUAUCUUGGAAAUAUAUUGAAAGAGGAAAGUAAUCGUAUGUAAAUGGAUAACUUGGAAGAUAUAAUGAAGCAGGAAUCAUUAUAUUAACAGUGGCAUCUUCUCGAUGUACGACUGCUCACUAUUUUGACUGCAUUUAUCGUUUGAUUCUUUUCUUAAUUAGCCAAACUCAUGUUAACAAUGGUAUAACAGUAAUUAAUUACUUCAUGGACAGAACAUCAAUAUAUAAAUACCCCAUAUAUAAUAAGCAACAACGUAUCAAAAUACACCAAAUAAUGGGAAUUGGAGAACGCCCAUUUAUACAAACAAAUAUAAGUGGGCAAAAUCAAUACUCAUAAUAAAGACACAAAGACGAUUAAAAGCCUUAUUAAACUAGAUCCAGUAUGCAGCAUAACAGAAAAUGGGGUAUUUCAAGGAGUAGAGCGAGAAGGUGGUGGAGAAAAGAAAGGAAUAGAGGGAACUGCAGUUGGGAUUGAGGGAAUGCUUGGCAGAGGCGGCAGUCCUCUUGGCAAUGUGGUAGGAAGUGGAGGAAGCGCCCCAGGGUUUGGGAGAUAAGGGAAAGAUGGCAAUGGUGGAAAAGAGAAAGGAAUAGGGGGAACUGCAGUUGGGAUUGUGGGGACUGAGGGAAUGCUUGGCAGGGGGGGUAGUCCUGUUGGCAAUGUGGUAGGAAGUGGAGGAAGCGCCCCAGGCCAUGGGAAUGAUUGUCGGGAUGGAGUUGGGAGAUUAGGGAAAGAUGGUAAACUUUGCGGUUGAGGCUGCUGCAGAAGGUGACGAGCUGCUACCCCAACAUCAAUGCUUGCAAAUGACAAAGCAAUCAAGAAUGCUAAAGCAAGGCAAUUGAAAGAGGCCAUUUUUGUUGAGAGAUUUCGAAACAAAUGAAGCAGAUGAAACAAAGUUCUUUAUCUAAAUAGUUG